CAGCAGCCGCGGUAAUACGUAGGUGGCAAGCGUUGUCCGGAAUUAUUGGGCGUAAAGGGCUCGCAGGCGGUUUCUUGAGUCUGAUGUGAAAGCCCCCGGCUCAACCGGGGAGGGUCAUUGGAAACUGGGAAACUUGAGUGCAGAAGAGGAGAGUGGAAUUCCACGUGUAGCGGUGAAAUGCGUAGAGAUGUGGAGGAACACCAGUGGCGAAGGCGACUCUCUGGUCUGUAACUGACGCUGAGGAGCGAAAGCGUGGGGAGCGAACAGGAUUAGAUACCCCGGUAGUCCCUGUCUCUUAUAC
rnacentral:rRNA from 1 species